GGAAAGCCCAAGGGUGGGUUAAAGAAGGCACUAAAAGUUGAACUUGAUAAUGUUAGACGCCUUAGCUUGAGCGAGCAAAAAUUUGAAAAGGUUAUUGCAUCCCACGGAACAGAUGUUGUAAGAUUCACUCAGAAAAACAUUUUGAGGAUAUAUCCUAAGGGUAUUCGGAUUGACUCCUCCAACUACAAGCCAAUGAAUGCUUGGCUGCAUGGAGCUCAAAUGGUUGCACUUAACAUGCAGGGAUAUGGUAAAUCACUUUGGUUGAUGCAUGGGAUGUUUAGAUCAAAUGGAGGGUGUGGUUAUGUCAAAAAGCCUGAUAUUUUUAUGAAUAUGGGUCCAGAAAAUCAGGUAUUUGAUCCUAAAGCAAAAUUGCCAGUGAAGAAAACACUAAAGGUUAAAGUUUAUAUGGGGGAUGGAUGGCAUUUAGAUUUUAAGCGAGCACAAUUUACUUUAUUUUCCUCUCCUGAUUUCUAUAUCAGGGUAAGUUAGAGAUUGCUGCAAGUAUGUUAAUUAAAAAAAAAAAAAUCUACCUCCAUAUCUGCUCUCUAGAAUUUAAAUUUCUUGUUGCCUUAGGUUAUUUUUAUUUGGUUGGUUUCUGUCUGAGUCUAAAAUGACUAAUGUAGAAUCCUUGUUGUAUAUUUCUACUUGUAAACCUCUGGAGAGAAGGUUGGCAUAGCAGGGGCUCCAGCUGAUAAGACAAUGAAGAAAACAAAGAAAAGGGAGAACAAUUGGACACCCAUUUGGGAUGAAGAGUUCACAUUUCCAUUGACUGUUCCAGAAUUGGCUUUGCUUCGUUUUGAAGUUCAUGAUCGUAUAAUGCCUGAGAAGGAUGAUUUUGCAGGUCAAACCUGUUUGCCUGUCUCUCAACUAAGGCCAGGCAUCCGUGCAGUCCCCCUCUUCAAUCGGAAGGGAAAUAAGUUCAGCUCAAUGAGACUUCUUAUGCGGUUCGAGUUUCUAUAGAAACUGCCAAGUUUAGAUGAUGUAUAGAUGAUAAUCCUUUCUUUAAGGCCAAGUAUGUAUAGAUGACAAUUCAUAUCCAUGCACAUGCUUUUACAUACUUAAUUGGAAACUGCUGUAAACACUCAUUAAAUUGAUGAUCAAGUGGAAUAGGUGAUCUCAAGUUCGUGACUUGUAAAGAUAUAUAUGCUCAGAAAUAAAAUAGAUUGUGAACUCACACGGGAAUAUUUCAUGAAUGACUAAGACUUGCUACUUUUGUACUGUGAACACUGAAC
rnacentral:misc_RNA from 1 species